rnacentral:rRNA from 1 species
GACGAACGCUGGCGGCGUGCUUAACACAUGCAAGUCGAACGGAAAGGCCCUGCUUUUGUUGCUUGCUCGAUUGGCGAACGGGUGAGUAACACGUGAGUAACCUGCCCUUGACUUUGUGAUAACUUCUGGAAACUGGGGCUAAUACCGGAGAGGAUCUCUUGCUGCAUGGUGGGGGUUGGAAAGUUUCGGCUGUGGGGGAUGGUCUCGCUGCUUAUCAGCUUGUUUGUGGGGUAGUGGCUUACCAAGGCUUUGACGGGUAGCCUGCCUGAGAGGGUGACCGGCGACAUUGGGACUGAGAGACGGAGCAGUAUGCUACGGGACGCAGCAGUCGGGAAUAUGGCACAAUGGGCGGAAGCGUGAUGCAGAAAUGUCGCGUGCGGGAUGACGGGCUUCGGGGUGUAAACAGCUUUCGACGGUGACGAAGCGUGCGUGACGGUAACUGGUCAAGAAGCAACGGCUAACUACGUG